rnacentral:rRNA from 1 species
GAUGAACGCUGACAGAAUGCUUAACACGUGCAAGUCAACUUGAAUUUGGGUUUUUAACUUAGAUUUGGGUGGCGGACGGGUGAGUAACGCGUAAAGAACUUGCCUCACAGCUAGGGACAACAUUUAGAAAUGAAUGCUAAUACCUGAUAUUAUGAUUUUAAGGCAUCUUAGAAUUAUGAAAGCUAUAAGCACUGUGAGAGAGCUUUGCGUCCCAUUAGCUAGUUGGAGAGGUAACAGCUCACCAAGGCGAUGAUGGGUAGCCGGCCUGAGAGGGUGAACGGCCACAAGGGGACUGAGACACGGCCCUUACUCCUACGGGAGGCAGCAGUGGGGAAUAUUGGACAAUGGACCGAGAGUCUGAUCCAGCAAUUCUGUGUGCACGAUGAAGUUUUUCGGAAUGUAAAGUGCUUUCAGUUGGGAAGAAAAAAAUGACGGUACCAACAGAAGAAGUGACGGCUAAAUACGUGCCAGCAGCCGCGGUAAUACGUAUGUCACGAGCGUUAUCCGGAUUUAUUGGGCGUAAAGCGCGUCUAGGUGGUUAUGUAAGUCUGAUGUGAAAAUGCAGGGCUCAACUCUGUAUUGCGUUGGAAACUGUAUAACUAGAGUACUGGAGAGGUAAGCGGAACUACAAGUGUAGAGGUGAAAUUCGUAGAUAUUUGUAGGAAUGCCGAUGGGGAAGCCAGCUUACUGGGCAGAUACUGACGCUAAAGCGCGAAAGCGUGGGUAGCAAACAGG